rnacentral:rRNA from 1 species
GACGAACGCUGGCGGCGUGCUUAACACAUGCAAGUCGAACGGAAAGGCCCUGCUUUUGUGGGGUGCUCGAGUGGCGAACGGGUGAGUAACACGUGAGUAACCUGCCCUUGACUUUGGGAUAACUUCAGGAAACUGGGGCUAAUACCGGAUAGGAGCUCCUGCUGCAUGGUGGGGGUUGGAAAGUUUCGGCGGUUGGGGAUGGACUCGCGGCUUAUCAGCUUGUUGGUGGGGUAGUGGCUUACCAAGGCUUUGACGGGUAGCCGGCCUGUGAGGGUGACCGGCCACAUUGGGACUGAGAGACGGCGCAGACUCCAACGGGAGGCAGCAGUGGGGAGUAUUGCACAAUGGGCGGAAGUCGGAUGAAGCAACGCCGCGUGCGGGAUGACGGCCUUCGGGGUGUAAACCGCUUUCGCCUGUGACGAAGCGGGAGUGACGGUAAUGGGUAAAGAAGCACCGGCUAACUACGUG